rnacentral:rRNA from 1 species
GACGAACGCUGGCGGCGUGCUUAACACAUGCAAGUCGAACGGAAAGGCCCUGCUUUUGUGGGGUGCUCGAUUGGCGAACGGGUGAGUAACACGUGAGUAUCCUGCCCUUGACUUUGGGAUAACUUCAGGAAACUGGGGCUAAUACCGGAUAGGAGCUCCUGCUGCAUGGUGGGGGUUGGAAAGUUUCGGCGGUUGGGGAUGGACUCGCGGCUUAUCAGCUUGUUGGUGGGGUAGUGGCUUACCAAGGCUUUGACGGGUAGCCGGCCUGAGAGGGUGACCGGCCACAUUGGGACUGAGAUACGGCCCAGACUCCUACGGGAGGCAGCAGUGGGGAAUAUUGCACAAUGGGCGGAAGCCUGAUGCAGCAACGCCGCGUGCGGGAUGACGGCCCUCGGGUUGUAAACCGCUUUCGCCUGUGACGAAGCGUGAGUGACGGUAAUGGGUAAAGAAGCACCGGCUAACUACGUG